AUUUUUUUAAUAAUAAUGAUUUUUGUCCACCUUGAUAUUAUAUUAUCUAUCUUUGUCCUCAGAUUGUGUCCAGCUCAGUGUUUACCCGACCUCUGGAACUGAAGGAGGGAAAGCCAGCAGGAAAAGGCACCAUUACGAUUACAGCAGAGGAGAUUAAGGAUACCAGGGUUGUUAAUCUGGAAAUUGAAGCCCGAAACUUGGACAAAAAGGAUUUCUUAGGUAAAUCGGAUCCGUUUUUGGAGCUGUACAAGCAGAGUGAUGCUGGAAUGUGGCAGCUGGUGUACAGAUCAGAGGUGGUUAAGAACAACUUAAGUCCAUGCUGGAGGAAGUUCAGUGUUCCCUUGCAGACGUUCUGUGGUGGUGAUCUUAAUAAACCUAUCAAGGUACAGCCUUCAGAAAUUCAGAUUUGUUUGUUGUUGUAAGUAAUCCAGUCUCUGACAUAUUAGCUGUGAGUAAUCAAGUCGUCUAGUCACAUUUAAAAUUGU